rnacentral:rRNA from 1 species
UACGAGGGGGGCAAGCGUUGUUCGGAAUUAUUGGGCGUAAAGCGCGCGCAGGCGGUCCUUUAAGUCUGAUGUGAAAGCCCACGGCUCAACCGUGGAGGGUCAUUGGAAACUGGGGGACUUGAGUGCAGAAGAGGAAAGCGGAAUUCCACGUGUAGCGGUGAAAUGCGUAGAGAUGUGGAGGAACACCAGUGGCGAAGGCGGCUUUCUGGUCUGUAACUGACGCUGAGGCGCGAAAGCGUGGGGAGCAAACAGG